rnacentral:lncRNA from 1 species
GGGAAGUAUAUUCAUUUCAUCCUUUCUAAACAACGGAUCCAGGAGACAGGUCUUAGAGUGGGAGACUGGAGUCACAGCCUGAGAAGUUGACCGUGGGAAGCAGGUGUUGCAUGUAGAGUGGCCCUACAGAUGUGUCAAGAACGGGGACCAACUUGAUCUCGCUCACCACAUGAUCAUGUCUCUUGAUUGUGACCAAACGUUCCUUUGUGUGGGGACUGUCAAAUCCCAUGGCUGUUGAAAGGAAAACAAACAUCUUCUGAUGGUCACUGCCCUUCAAAAUCUCCAGGUGAGAAAAGAGCCUCGUGAUUCAGCCUACCUGUCUCAAGAGCAGACAUCAUCUUCUAAGACCACCCCUUCUGCUAAGCAGGGAAAGGAUGCUUGUGACCAGAGCUGGAGGUCUCAGCUUCAGUUCCUCCCCACCUCCUCUCCCUUCUGGAUCUACUUUUUUCCCUGACUAUCAUUAGAAAAGAACAGGCUUCCAAGA